rnacentral:misc_RNA from 1 species
UCUCCGUAGGUGAACCUGCGGAAGAAUCAUUCAUAAUAAGUGUUUUAUGGCACUUUUUUAAAUCCAUAUCCACCUUGUGUGCAAUGUCAGGGUUGAUUUUUCUCUCGAGAGGAUCAACCCCAAACAUCAACUAUAUCUCGACUCUUUGUCUGAAAAAUAUUAUGAAUAAAACAAUUCAAAAUACAACUUUCAACAACGGAUCUCUUGGCUCUC